rnacentral:misc_RNA from 1 species
CUCGGAAAAUGAAAUUGUGAAAAGUUCUCUGCAAAUAGAAAAUAAAGGGUUUAUAUGGAUUUUACAAUCCCAAACUAAGAAGAAACAGCUUUCCACUAAAGAGAAACCAAUCCUAAAAAGGAUAGGAAAGUUUAAAUCUUACUGAAACAUUGAAAUUUAAGAGAACUAGUAACAAAUCCGAAAAACCGACGUCAACACAACCAGGCCGUGUGAGUCGAUAAAUUACACUGGCUGGCCGUCUCUGGACUGCUCGUGAGAUAUUCAAGACUGCCCGUGUGAUGAUGGAUGACGGAUUACUUUACAUGAGCAAGCCGUCUAACCUUCUGGACCUUUGCACGCUUGAUAGAGUUUUAUACAGAAGUAGACACGGUCUUGGCCAUAGCCGUGAGACUGAGGCUGUGUGAUUUGGCCCUUUGCUCAGAAGACAUUAUCGAAUACACGGCCAUGUAAUUUGGUCUUUGUGGGCCGUGUAACUCAGUGGAUACUCUGCCAUUUGCCUUCACUUGCAAAGAACUUGACCUCGAGUUAUAAUCUUAAUAUUCAAGUGCACAAUCCAGCAAAUAAUUACAAAAGUUAGCUACAUUAUAUUUCCCAUCCAAUUUGGAAGAUCCACCACAUAAGCAUUGUCAUUGAUCUCCUUGGGAAUCUUAAAUGGACCAUAUUUCCUUUGCUUCAGUUUAUAAAAUGCCCCAGCCGUCAAUCUUGCCUUGCCAAGAUACACCAUAACUUCAUCUUUAACUUCAAUUACCUUGAAUCUCCUAUGCUUACCUGCAGCCACCUUGCACUUUGCAUAGGCCACCCUUUUCUUUUUUGGCUGCUCAAUUAGUAUUUCACAUUGCCAUAGUCACUGUCUGCAUAUGGAGAACUCCUGUUUUUAGCUCAGAUCACAUAAAAAUUAAAAUCAAUACCCACAAUGCAAAAAAUGUUUCCUCAAACAUGAGCUGAAAUCGCAGAAUUCAAUUAGCAGUGCUCUAAAAGGGUCAUGUGUGCUGGCAUCCUUUAAGGCCAUCAAGGAAGGCCUCAAUUUCAACUUCUAAGUUUGGUUCUGCAGAUUUAACAGUAAAGAUAACAAAUUAACCAUAAAUAUUUGAAAACUACCCACACUCUUCUCUUUAUUUCUUUAAAGGCACCUUGAAUUGAUCAUUGUUCAAUAAUUAUAAUCUAAAGCAAGAAAAUGAGGAAUGAUAUAACAGAGAUCUCAAGGGAAUCACGUCCAUGAAGAAACAAGCUCCAAUUGGAUAUGGCUGGCCAAACAUCUUGAAAAUCAAUUACUUAGAAAGUGGUUGUGGUAUAUCGUCAGAUUGGCAGCGGCAAUGAUCAUCUAGGUCAAUUGAAGCCCUAGCUUUGGCUUGGGGUGGUGAAGAUUGCCGGAUCAAGCUUGAUGGUGGUAACGGUCACCGUUUGUUGGUAAAGGAGGCGUCGGAUGAGGUGGGUUGAGGAUUGUGAGUCAGGAAUGAGAGAAGUUUUGAAUUUUGACAACGAUGGAUUAUUUAAUUUGGACAAUUUCAUCAGUUUAACAAUACAAUUCCAUGGGAAUGAAAGAUACCCAUACAAAUGGUUGGGUAUCACAUGCUUACCGCUUAAGGGAAUAAAUGAUUCCUAGGAAAAAAUUUUCUUUUACCUCCUAAAAAAAAAUCAAGGGUAUAACGUUCUCAGUUAUCUUAUUCCUGGGAAUGUAAUCUCAUUCCCCUCUACUAAAUGCCACCAAAAAAGUGAAAGGUAUCCCAUGGAGUCGUUGGUGGCAUAAGAUCCAUCUUUGCAAUGUUGAACAAGUAGCAGUUCACUUUGCCUUCCUAUGUGCACCAACAUUCAGAGACCAGCUAAUCAAAAGCAACAUUCAGUUUGCUCUGCCAUUCUACGAAGACCAACAUGGGACUCUUGUUUCCAGUCCAACAUUAUUGCCCAGUAGUAAAACUGUAGAUAACCUACUUACAUCAGCAUGCAUCAUGACCAACAGAAUAAUAAUAAUAAUAAUCAAGUUGCUUGUUGAGUUGAUUCAGAAAUUCGGUGAUGCCCCCAAAAUGAGAAUGGACCUUAUCAUUGUCAACAACAAACUUAUGAACAAUCCCAUCAAUCUCAAUGAAACUCCAUGCAGAAAUGGUUGCUGCUCCCCUCUCUUUCAUCAUUUUCCUUAACCUAAUCACCUCCUCCCAGCUUCCCUUAGUGGCAUACAUGUUUGCUAGAAGGACAUACCUUCCACUAUGUUGUGGCUCUAACUGGAUAAGAAGCCUCCCUACCCUCUCCCCCAUCUCAAGAUGGCCAUGGAUCAGACACCCAUUUAGCAAAGAACUCCAUAUGGCUCCAUCCGGCUUCAUUGGCAUAAUAUUAAUCAAUAUCCCAGCUUCUUUAAUCAGCCCAGCUCGUGCCAAAAGAUCAAUCAUGCACCCAUAAUGCUCAAUCAAGGGAGCAAUGCCAUAAACUUUACUCAUUCGUCCAAAGAAACACCAAGCUUCACUCAACAAAAUUUUGUGAUUACAAGCAGUGAGAACUGCAACAAAAGUUACAGCAUUGGGUGUAGGU